rnacentral:rRNA from 1 species
AUUGAACGCUGGCGGCAGGCCUAACACAUGCAAGUCGAGCGGGGUUUUCGGACCUAGCGGCGGACGGGUGAGUAAUGCGUAGGAAGCUACCCGAUAGAGGGGGAUACCAGUUGGAAACGACUGUUAAUACCGCAUAAUGUCUACGGACCAAAGUGUGGGACCUUCGGGCCACAUGCUAUCGGAUGCGCCUACGUGGGAUUAGCUAGUUGGUGAGGUAAUGGAUCACCAAGGCGACGAUCCCUAGCUGGUUUGAGAGGAUGAUCAGCCACACUGGAACAGAGACACGGUCCAGACUCCUACGGGAGGCAGCAGUGGGGAAUAUUGGACAAUGGGCGCAAGCCUGAUCCAGCCAUGCCGCGUGUGUGAAGAAGGCCUUCGGGUUGUAAAGCACUUUCAGUAGGGAGGAAGCGUUGUGUGUUAAUAGUACACAGCGUUGACGUUACCUACAGAAGAAGCACCGGCUAACUCUGUGCCAGCCGCCGCCGUAACAC